UAGCACUGGUGCAGCAGUUCCUGGCAUGAGGAUCAACAUCAUUAUCAGAUGCAUGUAUCCUCCAUGGACCUUACCUACUUUGUCUGAGCCAAUCCCUUUGAGAAGGCUUGUUGUGGCAUCAGAGGAGUGGGGAAAUGAACCUGAUUUAUAGUGGACCUCAAAGGGAACCUACCCUAAAUUUGUCUGGGAACGCAGCUGCAGCCUAUGCUGAUGCCUACUGUCAUCCAUAACAUUUCCAAAAAGUCCCACAGAAUAUUUCUGAGCUCCAUCCAAAAAUCUACUGCACGGCAGGAUUGUAAUGCAUCAUAGGUGCACUCUUGAUGUAAUGCAUGCUUCUACAAGUAGAGUCAUCUCAGGCAUUGGAAAAAACAAGCAACACCACCACCAUCUGUCACUGGAACUGUACAUGUAUAAAGGACCCUCUUUUGGCAACUGGUAGACUGCCAACUUCAGCUUACCCAGAGGAGACUACA
ensembl:lncRNA